rnacentral:lncRNA from 7 species
GAAAAUCAUGUGAAAGAAGGAGGUUGCAAAGUGGUUAUUCUGCUACAGAAAGCUGCCUCAAACUGCUCUUCUAGUCAACGUCAUCAGCCUACCUAACCUGAACAAUUUGGAGUGAUGAUGCAGAAUUGUCUGUGUAAGAAGUUGCAUCUAUUUUGUGGUCUCUCCUGAUUAGCUUGCCCUGGCCUUAAUUUUCAUUCUGCCGGAGAAAAACAAGAUUGCUCUCCUGAGCUUUCUCGACUUCAGCAAAUUGAGCUGAUCCCCCUACUUGCAGGAAGGACCUUGUCAGAGGCCACUGCUUGAAUUUUCCCAGAAUUAGAAUAGUUUUUUGUGAAACAACAGCAACAACACUCGCUCAGCCAGAUGGAAAGUGAAGAGACACAUCAUUUGGAUACCUGUCUGCAUCUCUGUUGAAGAAACUAGCACGUGUGCAGUUCUCAAGGGGGCAGAGGAGGAACAAAGCCUUGCCAUCAAGUCGGUUCCAGCAGACAGAAAUCAAUAUUUCCUGCAGAAUUCUUCUAGCGCUAUCAGGAAAGUGACAAUACAGAUAUCAUCAGUUUAGAUGAGAAGAAAGGGGUGAUAGUAGAACAUGGAAGAAGUGAAUAUAUUAAGACAAAGUACAAAGUAACAUAACCAGCCAGCCAGACCUAGAGAAAGCCAUGCUGCAUGUGAAACCUGUGUCCUAGGAUAUUACUUAGGCUUCACAGGCAGCAAAGAGAGACGCACAACCAUCCAGCCUUUCUCUGCAACUGGAGUGAAUUGAUCUCCAAGCAUGCUAAUACAUCCCCUAAAUUUUAUGAGAAAGUUUUCCAGUACUUCCAACAAAUGCCAACAACAUACAAGACCUGGAGGCUUAGUAGCUAGGUGUGAUAUGGACAUUGCAUCUUAAUUUUAACAUUUGAAUAAGCUUAUAUCUCUGGCUAGUCAGCCACCUGUCAAGACUUUUUUUUUAAAAAAAAAUAGCCCUCAGGAAAGCCUGGAAAAUGAAGUAUACAGACCUACAAACACAGAAUAAAUUAAGCAAAGACUUUUACCAAGCCCAUUUGCUGUAAGCACAGCAGCAGUAAUUUCUCUUCAGAUGCACUAUUAGCCCUUCAUGCUCUCAGUUGCUUUUCUGUCGAUUAAAAAGGAAAUGUUGGCCCAGAGAUGCUGACAAGGUUUGAGAUAAUGAGGUUUUGAAAGGCUCAGGUCUAGAAGUACGUGAUGAGAAGAGAUGGUCAAUAAUUGCCAAGAGAGCUUAGGGAAUGCAGGAAUCCAAACACAAAUGCACGGAACUUUAAUUUUUAUCUCUAAACAAUAUCUCAUUAUUUUAAGUCCAAUAUGGAAAGCUCGCCUAAACAUUUUUAUAAGCUUGAUGUUGGCAGUAAUGGAUAAUGCUACUGUUUUUCUUUGCCUUCAUCUUUCUUAAGGAAAUGUACUUUGCUCUCUAACAGUAGCUGGAAAUGUGUACUCUUAUGGACAAGUGGGCUUCUCUGAUCACUUUAUGACAUGGAACGUAUUAAAUAUCUCCAGGGCUGGAAUAUCAAGUGGAUCAUCAGACUUGAGAUGGGGAGAAGAGUAGGGAGAAUUGUUUUACUAAAAAUAACUACAAAAAAAAAACAAGACAGUUUAAUUAUGAAUUUGUUACUUUUUUCUUCUUUACAAAGUGACUUCUCCACUGAAUUCAUUUAUUUGAGAUGAGUAAAGUCUAACAAGGGUCCUCGUACUCACAGUUUAGAAAUGUACAGAGCUUUGUCCCUUUAAGCUAAGGAUGGCUUUUGCUUUUGUAGUUUUUUUUCCUUUAGCUUUGAUGGUAAAUAAAUGAACUCCUCGGGGUCUUUUUAGAGCAAUUUGAAACUUGUGAUGCCAGAAAGUGUUUCAGAAAGGAAUAAGACUGUAAAAUGAGUACUCUCCAUUAUACAACUGUCUUUCUCUAAGUAGUAAUUAUGGCUCUCCUAAAAAAAUCAUAAUACAAAAGCCAGCUGAAAUGAUGAACCAGACAUGGUCUUCCCUCUUUGCAAAUAACAAAAAGUGAUUAUUAGGCUCAUUCCCCACCCUUCCCAGUGUUCUGUAUCAAUUUACCUUAGCAUAACAUACAGUAGAGAGGAAUUAGUCUUAAAUGAAUAUUUAUAUAUUAUACAAGAAUAAACCUGUCAAGAAAAUAAGUUAAUUAUAAAU